AGUAUUAUAGUUUUAAAGUGCUAUCAAAGCGUUAUUAGGAGCGCGUUUAAUACCCUUUAAAAUCAUUUGAUAAAAAUCAAAACCUAUAAAAAUGAGAACUAGAAUUGGAGUUAUAAUGAG
rnacentral:antisense_RNA from 1 species